rnacentral:lncRNA from 1 species
UCUGCCAAGGCGCCUAUGAGAGCCUCUUGGCUUUUACCUGGUCUGCGAGAAAUCAAACUUUGGGCACAAGUCAUGAAGCCGACAAGCCCGGGAGACACAGUGUCAGAAUUACAAGGUGAGAUCAGCCGCCCGGCCAAGCUAUCUUCUCGCUAGCAGGAACACUACAAGGCCUGUUAGAGAAGAAAGGGUAGAAUCCCGAGAAUGUUUUCCCCACAGUGCUGAUAAGGAGAGACCACUAUCCCAUCUACUGCUACAGCUCUGGAGACAGAGCUCUCCCACCUGUCAUAUAGAACACAAGGACCAAUCUGCAGAGAAAGAGCAUCCAAACCUGAUCCAGUGGACACUGGGGAAAAACUCACCACAGCUGAGUGUGGAAAAACAAGGCCAACACACACAUCUCUGCACAGAUACAUCUCCCAUAAAGAAACUAAAGUGUUAAUUUACAGGGCACUGUUGCAGACCCACUUCAGCUGGAAGCUAGGAACAUGGACAAGGAGCCUCUCUACCACCAAGGGAGAGAGAGGAAUGUGCUCUUGUCCUGGCAUUGCAUCCACAGGAGGGGCAGGAAAUUCUUUGAAGGUUUUCAGAUCUCAUGACUACUUUAUUUUGGAGUUGCCAGACUCAGCAAAUAAAAAUACACGACACACAGUUAAGUUUAAUAUUCAGAAAGAAAACUGUUGUGGCAAGUCAGGGACCCCAAACGGAGGGACCGGCUGAAGCCAUGGCAGAAGAACAAGGAUUGUGAAGAUUUCAUGGACAUUUAUU